rnacentral:rRNA from 1 species
AUGAUGGUAACUGCCCUGGAGUGGGAAGAUGGCCCAUCUUGUGCUCUUUUCAUGGAGGGGACCGAAUACUAUGAGUGGAUGAAUCAAAAAGUAGACAUACCAGUCAAGCAUGUGCAGACACCAAAUGCUUCUAGCUCUGAUGUGCAAAAUUCAAUCCCAUUAGUGCCAAACUUUGACAACACUCCUCAAGUUGAAAGGCCUAGCAACCUCCCAAUCGCAACAUUUGACACAGCUCCAAAGCUCCCUAGGGCAAACGACAUUCCGGGGCCUGUGUUUGAUGUGUCCCCCAUCUCAUUUAAAAACGCUUCCUCUGAUGGACCUCAAGUAGUGGAUUUGCACGAGACAAUCGAGGCGAAUGUUACGGUCAGGGGUGAGUCAAAUAGUCUUGGUAAACAGUCAAAGAAGAAAAGGGUGGCUCUCUCCCCAGACAAUCUGCCAACGAUGAAUAAGAUUAAUGUUGAUGCACACGGUGAUGCCUUACACCAUCAGUAUGUAAUGACCAGAUACAAGACAAGAAAACCAAAGAAAAAUGAGCUUCUGCCCGACUUCAUUGAAAUAGAUGGCUUCCAUACAUCUCUCAAGAAUUUUCAUGCAUCUCUAAAGCCAAGAGCGGAGAUUGACAAUGAGGUCAUGACCUUAUACCUAAAGACAUUCAACUAUGACCAGUCAGUGAAGAAGAAGCCAAAAAAUUUUGUUUUCUCAGUGUUGAUGAGUUUGAAACUCAGUGCUGAGCCAGAUGUGUUUGAUUCGAAGGUGUGCAAAAAAGAAUUUAAGAAUGCUUGCUUACAAAAUCAUAUUUCAAAAUCUGACCUCUAUUCUUCAUGGUUGUACACAAAAAGCACUGGGCAGUAG